CACAACGUAAAUGCACCACUCACCUUGAG
rnacentral:sRNA from 1 species